UACGUAGGGAGCGAGCGUUGUCCGGAUUCAUUGGGCGUAAAGAGCUCGUAGGCGGUUCGGUAAGUCGGGUGUGAAAUCUCCGUGCUCAACACGGAGCGGCCACCUGAUACUGCCGUGACUCGAGUCCGGUAGGGGAGUGUGGAAUUCCCGGUGUAGCGGUGAAAUGCGCAGAUAUCGGGAAGAACACCCGUGGCUAAGGCGGCUCUCUAGUACGGUACUGACGCUGAGACGCGAAAGCGUGGGGAGCGAACAGG
rnacentral:rRNA from 1 species